rnacentral:rRNA from 1 species
UACGUAGGGUGCGAGCGUUGUCCGGAAUUAUUGGGCGUAAAGGGCUCGUAGGCGGUCUGUUGCGUCGGGAGUGAAAACUCAGGGCUUAACCCUGAGCCUGCUUCCGAUACGGGCAGACUAGAGGUAUGCAGGGGAGAACGGAAUUCCCGGUGUAGAGGUGAAAUUCGUAGAUAUCGGGAGGAACACCAGUGGCGAAGGCGGCGAUCUGGGAAGAUACUGACGCUGAGGUGCGAAAGCGUGGGGAGCAAACAGG